rnacentral:rRNA from 1 species
UACGAGGGGGGCGAGCGUUGUUCGGAAUUAUUGGGCGUAAAGGGCGCGUAGGCGGUGCGGUAAGUCACCUGUGAAACCCCCGGGCUCAACUCGGGGCCUGCAGGCGAAACCUGCCGUGCUGGAGUGCGGAAGAGGUGAGUGGAAUUCCCGGUGUGAGCGGUAGAAAUGCGUAGAUAGUCGGGAGGAACACCUGUGGCGAAAGCGGCUCACUGGACCGCACUGACGCUGAGGCGCGAAAGCUAGGGGAGCAACAGG